UACGGAGGGUGCAAGCGUUUAUCCGGAUUUACUGGGUUUAAAGGGUGGUCGGUAGGCGGUCGGGUAAGUCUGACGUGAAAUCUUCAAGCUCAACUUGGAAACUGCGUCGGAUACUAUUCGGCUCGAGGAAUGGAGGGGAGACUGGAAUUCUCGGUGUAGCAGUGAAAUGCGUAGAUAUCGGGAGGAACACCCGUAGCGAAGGCGGCCGACUGGACCACACCUGACGCUGAGGCGCGAAGGCCAGGGGAGCGAACGGG
rnacentral:rRNA from 1 species